GACGAACGCUGGCGGCGUGCCUAAUACAUGCAAGUAGAACGCUGAAGAGAGGAGCUUACUCUUCUUGGAUGAGUUGCGAACGGGUGAGUAACGCGUAGGUAACCUGCCUUGUAGCGGGGGAUAACUAUUGGAAACGAUAGCUAAUACCGCAUAACAAUGGAUGACACAUGUCAUUUAUUUGAAAGGGGCAAUUGCUCCACUACAAGAUGGACCUGCGUUGUAUUAGCUAGUAGGUGAGGUAAUGGCUCACCUAGGCGACGAUACAUAGCCGACCUGAGAGGGUGAUCGGCCACACUGGGACUGAGACACGGCCCAGACUCCUACGGGAGGCAGCAGUAGGGAAUCUUCGGCAAUGGGGGCAACACUGACCGAGCAACGCCGCGUGAGUGAAGAAGGUUUUCGGAUCGUAAAGCUCUGUUGUAAGUCAAGAACGGGUGUGAGAGUGGAAAGUUCACACUGUGACGGUAGCUUACCAGAAAGGGACGGCUAACUACGUG
rnacentral:rRNA from 1 species